GAACGCUAGCGGGAUGCCUUACACAUGCAAGUCGAACGGCAGCGGGAAAGUAGCUUGCUACUUUUGCCGGCGAGUGGCGAACGGGUGAGUAAUGUAUCGGAACGUGCCCAGUAGCGGGGGAUAACUACGCGAAAGCGUGGCUAAUACCGCAUACGNCCUACGGGGGAAAGGGGGGGAUCUUAGGACCUCUCACUAUUGGAGCGGCCGAUAUCGGAUUAGCUAGUUGGUGGGGUAAAGGCCUACCAAGGCGACGAUCCGUAGCUGGUUUGAGAGGACGACCAGCCACACUGGGACUGAGACACGGCCCAGACUCCUACGGGAGGCAGCAGUGGGGAAUUUUGGACAAUGGGGGAAACCCUGAUCCAGCCAUCCCGCGUGUGCGAUGAAGGCUUCGGGUUGUAAAGCACUUUUGUCAGGGAAGAAAAGGUUUCGGAUAAUACCCGGAACUGAUGACGGUACCUGAAGAAUAAGCACCGGCUAACUACGUGCCAGCAGCCGCGGUAAUACGUAGGGUGCAAGCGUUAAUCGGAAUUACUGGGCGUAAAGCGUGCGCAGGCGGUUCGGAAAGAAAGAUGUGAAAUCCCAGGGCUCAACCUUGGAACUGC
rnacentral:rRNA from 1 species